rnacentral:lncRNA from 1 species
CCUCGCGUAUCUUUCUUUAAACCCCCCCCUUACCCUCUUAGCCCCCUUUUUACCCCCGUUCACGCUUCUUGCCCCGUCUUAUUCCCUCCUUUAUCCCUGCUUAUUUCCCCUUGAUGUCUCCUUUCCCCACCUUAUCUCCCUUCUUACCCCACCACCCCUCUUACGCCUCCCUGGCCUCUUCUCUCUCCUUAUCCCGCUCUUACCCUCCUUCACCCCUCUGAACCCCUUUCACUUUUCCUAUCCCCUCUCCCUUAUCCCUCUACUUUCCCCUCCUCACCACCUUCUUUGGCCUUCCAAGCCCCUCCAAGCCCUCGUUCACCUCCUUUAUUCCCUCCCGUAAUUCCCCUUCUCGCCACAUGGAAUUCUGACAGUGGUUCCCGCCUCCCCGCAGGCACCGGCAGCUGCAGAAGGAGAAGCGGCGGCGGCACCAGGAGCUGUUCGCAGAGCAGAAGAAGCGCAGGCUGCUGCCCGAGGCCGUGCUGCAGGAGCUGCAGGAGCUGCAGGAUGUGUCCCCACGGCCCGCUGAGCAGGCUGUGGCCGAUGACCCAGUUACUCUAGGUGAGGAACUUGACGCUGGGGCUGUACAGCUGGAACAAGGCCAAGAUGAAGCGCAGGAGAAGAAGGGCAAGAGGAGAAAGGGUGCCAGGUAAGAGGAGGAGAUGGCUUUGUCUGGUGUGGGAAGGGGCAUCACAGCAGCUGUUCUGUCACUGCAUGGCUGUACCCUCUUCUGCACUUUAUGUUCCCUUGUCCUUUGAUUGAAAGCAUAUUUAUGUGCUAAAAGCACCUUUAAUAGCUUCUAGUUUAGCAUAUAUGUGUGUGUAUAUAUAAUUUUAAUGUAUUACAGGUACGUAACUGCUAUGAGAUAGCUGGGCAGUCAUAAGCACAGCAGUACACAUUGUGUUGUGUGCUGCUGCAGGUGGGGUGGUUGAGCACCAAAUUCCUGCAUUUUAAGCUAUUUUUCUCUCUCCUCUUUAUUUUGUUGUCACUGAUGGUCCUAGAUAGUAACUGCCCUAGCUCCUGGUAGGAUGAGCUCAGGAUGGCAAAUAAAACUGCUCAGGGUACACA